rnacentral:lncRNA from 1 species
CCGCUUGGCAUAUACAACUCAAUAUCGCGAAAGUCUACAAUAUCAUCCCCCAACACCCGGAAACUCACGGGAACACAAGCUAACAGAAUGUAAUACACUGCUCUAACUCUAGAAUGUCUAAAAACAACAGUACGAAAUGAAGGCUAACUACUAAGAGGUAGAAUAAGAUAUAGACUCCUUGGUCUGCGGAUGCGGCAGAUGUACCUUGAAGUCUUUGCUAGAUCUCUCCGCCUCGGGGGUGAUACGCCUGGGUGGAGGUACCUAGAUCUGCAUAUGAAAAACAUGCGCAGAAGGGGCAUGAGUACACCACAACGGUACUUAGUAAGUGCCAAGCCUAACCUCGGUCGGGUAGUGACGAGGAAGGUUAGGGCCCUACUGAGAUUAAACAUAAUAAUAAAUUUGCAACAUUAUAAAUAAACAGUAUAAAUGAGUAUAGUUAUGAAGUAAGACAGGGUGCACAAGGCAACAAAUAAUACACAGAGAAUAAGGUAACACAGAGUAAAACAGCUCAAUACCAGUAACAACAACGAGGAUCUCCCAAGAUACCUUCCUGUAGUCCAUUUCAUCAACUGUCCAAGGAUCUCGGGAUACAGUCCCGUAGUCCAUCAUAUGUGUAUGUCCGAAUGAUCUCCCGGGAUACCGUCCCGUAGUCCAACUAUCAGUGCGCGAGGAUCUACCAGAAUCCGUUUCGUAGUCCCAAAGUAAAUGUGCAGGGUGAUCUACCGGGAAUCUAACCCGUAGUCCCAAAGUAAAUGUGCAGGGGGGUCUACCAAAAAUCUAACCCGUAGUCCCAAAGUAAACAAACAAGGGGGGAAGCUAUCGGAAUCCCACAUCCGUAGUCCCAAUGUAAAUACGCAGCCACAACAAGAAAAUAUUUAGAAAUGGAGUACAAAAAUACAAGGCAACAGGUAGUUCUAGCCUAAUAUGCUUCACUUAAUACAAACAAAGCAACUUCAGCAAAUAGUCAAUUUAGGUCAACUAGGCAUGAUUUUCUAAUCUAAAAUAGGUUAUAUUUGCAAGUGGGAUAAAUCAGGUAAGAAAGAAACUCAGUCUGAAUAAUUAAAGUAAAACCGGAUUUUCAACAAUUAGCUCAAGUACGCGACCGUCACCUCGCGUACAAGGCAUUCAAUUACCAAAUAUCAUGUCCUAAGGAGAAAGGUCCCCCACACAAGGUUAGACAAGCCACUUAACUCAAACCGGCUCCAAAAUCAACUCGAAACCACACGUUUGCCACGCGUCUACGACUCCAAAUGGACCAAAUCUAUUCAAUUCAAUUACAUAUCAUAAAUAACAUCUCAAGCAAUUGAUUCUAUGAUUUAAUUCAAAGUUAAGACGCGAAAUAAGAUAAAAUGACCAAAACGCCCCUCAGGCCAAUGUCUUGAAAUCGGAUGAAAUUAACAUUUUCAGAAUCCUCGUACUCUCACGGGUCUAACCAUAUAAAAAACUCUCAAAUCGGAGGUCAAACACCCAGUCAAAACUCAAUAAUUCGGUCUAUGAAGUUUUACCAAUUUUUCAUUCAUAAAUCCAAAAUUAGAAGAGGAAUUCAUGCUUAGAUUAGUGGGUUACAAGAAAAAAAAAGUCUAGAAUUGUUACCCAAUCAUUGUCUCUGAAAAACCCUCAAAAUCUCGCUCAAAUCCGAGCUCUCAAGCUUGAGUUUUGAUAAAAAUGGCUAAACCCUCGGUUUUGAAAUGUUUAUAACUGCCCAGAUAUUUUAUGCAUUGUGAAUGCGGAGGAAGUCACGGGUUCGCGAAGAAGGAAAUUGAAGGUUACUAAAUUUUGCUUCGCGAACGCGGAAGCAGACUCGCAAACGCGGAAGAGGAAAAUAUGGUGGCCCAGGAUUACUCUUCGGGAACGCGUGGAACUAUACGCGAAUGUGAAGAGUGGACUUUGCAAAGUACGCGAACGCGAGAGUGGGUAUGCAAACGCGAUGAGGAAAAUAGUGAGAGCCCUCAGCGCCAAAUAGAACUACGCGAACGCGAGGGCUUGGUCAUGAAUGCGAAUGAGGAAAAAGGUGAAGCUUCGCGAACGCAGGAGGCUUCAUGUGAACGCGAAGGGUUAUCAGGUCCUCCUCCAAGAUUACUCUACGCGAAUGCGUGGAGGAGGACGCGACCGCGAAGAAGAAAAAGUCUGCAAUAGCUGAAGCCAAAAAUCUGUAAUUUUAAACAACUCCAAAAUGCCCCGUUGAGCAUCCGAAACACACCCGAGGCCCCCGAGACCGCAACCAAACCUACGGACAUAUCCCAUAACAUCAUUCAAACUUGUACCAAUCCUUAAACCACCUAAAACAAUGUUGGAAACUCAAAUUAAUCAAUAAUUUAAGCCUAAGAACUUCAAAUUCUCUCAAAACAUGCUUUCGAUCAAAACCCUAACCAAACCACGUCCGAAUGACCUGAAAUUUUACACGCACAUUCCAAAUGAAAUGAUGGAACUACUGCAACUUUCGGAACUCCAUUCCGACCCUUAGAUCAAAAUCUCACUAUUGGACCGGAAACUUCAAAAAUUCAAACUUUGGCAUUUCAAGCUUAAAUUAGCUAGGGACCUCCAAAACACAUUCCGACCAUGCUCCCAACCCCGAAAUCACCUAACGGAGCUAACAGAACCAUAAAAUUUCCAUUCUGAGUUCAUCUUCACACUGUUCUGACUACGGGCAACUUUCCAACACUUAAGCUCUCAUUUAGGGACUAAGUAUCCCAAAACUCUCUAAAACUCAAAACCGAACAUCCCAACAAUCCCAAUUAGCAGAAAAAGACUUGGGGAAAGCAGUUAAUAGGGUAUCGGGGCAUUAAUUCUUAAGACGACUGGUCGGGUCGUCACACAGUCACAAUAAUAAGUUAAGCCUCACCUAAAAGCAUUUCUACGAGUGUUCAUUUUGUAAAACCGCAAUCAUGUCACGUGAAUUCGUACAUGAUCACGAUGGUUUGAUUAAUUAAACGCGUCUAAAAGCAUAUUACUGUUUAAUUUCCUCGAAUGUCGGAUUAUAAGAGGGAAUUUCAAACCAAAGGCAUUAAAGUAAGAAAGGUUGUUGUAAUUAACUCACUUAGAAAAUAAUCGGGCUUAGUCGUAACAUUUUAUUUUUAGCCAAACUAAUGAGAUAUACAAUAUUCCUCCUUCUCUUUAUCAAGGUUAACAAUUCUUUUUUUGGGGGGAGGGGGGAAGAGGGGUAGAUGACAUUAAAUUCCUACAACAACAUGGUCAAAGUCCAAAUGGGUUGUCCAGGUUUGUCUACCAGACAGGCUUUCAAAUCGGACUCGCUUAUGGAGUUUGGGCUCAUCCAGCUAAGCCUUAAAUAAACUAUCAGUUGGGUUCACUAUUAGAGCUCAAAUUCAAUUUAAGGGAGCUCUACUAAUUUGGUCUUGCAGAGUUACCAGGCCCAAUGCACAAUUUUAAUACAGAAACAGAUUUCUAUAGGAUUAUCACUCUGAAGCUAUAGAAUCAAAUAUGCAUGUAUUUAACUACAACAGGUUUAGAAUAAUACAAUAUGAUCAACUAUUGAAUUAACUUAUCAAUACAAAAGAGGUAUAAAAAUUAAAUCAUUACAAGUCAUUAACUAACUACAACCCAACAAGUUCCAUUCCUUUUAUAAAUAAGGAAGCAGAUUUGUACAUCACUACUCCUAACAACCUUCUUCAAAUAAUAUCCAGAAAGAAAAAAAUGAUUUAGGCUAGUGACUUUUCAAUUCCCUUAUUGAUCUUGAUUUACUGAGAUAUCCACUAGGCUACUCUCAUAAAUCACUUGGCCACCAGCAGUAGCUAAAAACACAAAUGCAAAAAAGAAUAGUCUAACUGUUGAGUAAUUCCUGAGUUUAAUUAAAGAACAAUUCCAUUUAAAAAAUCAUAGAGAUCAACACAAACUGAUUUCACUAAUCAGCCCCGCAAACACCAUUUCAAAUACGAACCACCUAUUUCAGGAAAUAAGUCAUUAUACAGGGAACAAUCAAUCAAACAUGGAGAUGUUUUGAGCAUGAAAUAACCUUUAAACUAGAUCAAUGACCUAUCUAUGACAUUAGACUUGAAUCAUGACUAAACUAAAAGAUAACAUGUAAUUGAAAUGAUUUAGGAGCACAGUAGGAUCAACAAAGUAAAACUCCUCAUUUCAGGUUGUGUAAAAGUAAAAGCAUCACACCAACGCCUCUGAACUUCUUAAGCUCAUAUUGACACUCGAAUUAAUAAUGACUUUGAACCCAACGAGUCAACAUAGCCUACAUAUUCAGCUUAAAAUGAAUUAAUAUAAUCAUAUAACCAUCAAGAGAAACAUAGAUGAAUCAGAUCUAAGCAUACCAAUAUCAGAAACACAUAAAAAUAGAUGUAGACAUGGCAUCAAUAUGUUAAUUCUGCAUUUCCACAUUCACAAAAGUUACAAGAAGGAAUCUCACAUACCUAUUUGUGAAAGACAAUCAACAAAAGCCAAAAGGGCUGAAAACUGAAGAAUAAGCUCAGCAAACUCAAAGAAAACAACAGCAAGAUAACAGAAGAUCAAUAAGGAAAUCCCAGAAUGAAACUUGACCUCAAUUCUAAAUCAGCUUCAGAAAACCAAGGUUGAUCCAGAAAAGAAACCAAACAUAUGAAACCAUUUUUUUCAAUCAGUAUAUGAAAGAAACUGAAACUUGUAAAAGAAAAUUUCUAAGGUAAAAUUUUGCCUCCAAAUCAGUCUAAAGGUGAGAGAAAAGAAGCUGAAUUUCAGAGAGAGGUUUUCGGUGUGUGUAAUCUGUAUGUAUGUCUGUCUAUGUGAGUGAUAUAUGGCCCUUUAUAUAGAAUAUAAGAGUGUGACUUUGUGAGAAAAAUCAGAGGGGUGUGAAAGAAUCUUUUGGGAAUUCUGUCAGCUGAAAUUUAGGGAUGGGGCAUCUUUUCUAUCAAAAAAUGUAGAUUUUUCUCAUGUAUUUUAGGUCCAUUUACUUCUGAACUUACUCAUUUUUUUUACCCCAAUAUGAUGCAGUUUUCAGUUAUUUUAUUACACUUUAGUCCUUUUUCUAGAAACUUCCUAGACAAUUCCAAACGUAGGCUCCUUAAUUUUGUUUCCAAUUAACCAUCCUAAAGUUUCUGUUAUUACCCUUUCACUCUCCCAGAUUCUAAUAAGCAUUC